GAACGGGUGAGUAACACGUGGGCAACCUGCCCAAAAGAGGGGGAUAACACUUGGAAACAGGUGCUAAUACCGCAUAACCAUAGUUACCGCAUGGUAACUAUGUAAAAGGUGGCUAUGCUACCGCUUUUGGAUGGGCCCGCGGCGCAUUAGCUAGUUGGUGGGGUAAAGGCUUACCAAGGCAAUGAUGCGUAGCCGAACUGAGAGGUUGAUCGGCCACAUUGGGACUGAGACACGGCCCAAACUCCUACGGGAGGCAGCAG
rnacentral:rRNA from 1 species